GUGGGGAAUAUUGGACAAUGGGGGGAACCCUGAUCCAGCCAUGCCGCGUGUGUGAAGAAGGCCUUUUGGUUGUAAAGCACUUUAAGUGGGGAGGAGGCUUACCUGGUUAAUACCUAGGCUAAGUGGACGUUACCCACAGAAUAAGCACCGGCUAACUCUGUGCCAGCAGCCGCGGUAAUACAGAGGGUGCGAGCGUUAAUCGGAUUUACUGGGCGUAAAGCGCGCGUAGGUGGCCAAUUAAGUCAAAUGUGAAAUCCCCGAGCUUAACUUGGGAAUUGCAUUCGAUACUGGUUGGCUAGAGUAUGGGAGAGGAUGGUAGAAUUCCAGGUGUAGCGGUGAAAUGCGUAGAGAUCUGGAGGAAUACCGAUGGCGAAGGCAGCCAUCUGGCCUAAUACUGACACUGAGGUGCGAAAGCAUGGGGAGCAAACAGGAUUAGAUACCCGAGUAGUCC
rnacentral:rRNA from 1 species